rnacentral:rRNA from 1 species
UACAGAGGGUGCAAACGUUGUUCGGAAUUACUGGGCGUAAAGCGCGUGCAGGCGGCCUUGCAAGUCGGACGUGAAAUCCCACGGCUCAACCGUGGAAGUGCAUUCGAAACUGCGAGGCUGGAGUCCUGGAGAGGAAAGUGGAAUACUCGGUGUAGAGGUGAAAUUCGUAGAUAUCGGGAGGAACACCAGUGGCGAAGGCGGUUGCCUGGAGCUUUGCUGACGCUGAUGCGCGAAAGCGUGGGGAGCGAUCCGG